UCUGAGGUCCGGUGUAGCCGGCAUCUCAGA
rfam:Oesophagostomum dentatum strain OD-Hann O_dentatum-1.0_Cont45017.1, whole genome shotgun sequence.